rnacentral:rRNA from 1 species
AGUGAACGCUGGCGGUAGGCCUAACACAUGCAAGUCGAACGGCAGCACAGUAAGAGCUUGCUCUUACGGGUGGCGAGUGGCGGACGGGUGAGGAAUACAUCGGAAUCUACUUUUUCGUGGGGGAUAACGUAGGGAAACUUACGCUAAUACCGCAUACGACCUACGGGUGAAAGCAGGGGAUCUUCGGACCUUGCGCGAUUGAAUGAGCCGAUGUCGGAUUAGCUAGUUGGCGGGGUAAAGGCCCACCAAGGCGACGAUCCGUAGCUGGUCUGAGAGGAUGAUGACCCACUCGGGAACUGAGAAGCGGUCCAGACCCCUAGGGGAGGAAGCGGGGGGGAAUAUUGGACAAUGGGGGGAAGCCUGACCCAGCCAAACCGGGGGGGGGAAGAAGGCCUUCGGGUUGUAAAGCCCUUUUUUUGGGAAAAAAAAGCAGCAGGUUAAUCCCCCGCUUUUCGAACGGUACCCAAAAAAAAAGCACCGGCAAACUUCGU